GGGUUGUAAACUUCUUUUAUAAAGGAAUAAAGUCGGGUAUGCAUACCCGUUUGCAUGUACUUUAUGAAUAAGGAUCGGCUAACUCCGUGCCAGCAGCCGCGGUAAUACGGAGGAUCCGAGCGUUAUCCGGAUUUAUUGGGUUUAAAGGGAGCGUAGAUGGAUGUUUAAGUCAGUUGUGAAAGUUUGCGGCUCAACUGUAAAAUUGCAGUUGAUACUGGAUGUCUUGAGUGCAGUUGAGGCAGGCGGAAUUCGUGGUGUAGCGGUGAAAUGCUUAGAUAUCACGAAGAACUCCGAUUGCGAAGGCAGCCUGCUAAGCUGCAACUGACAUUGAGGCUCGAAAGUGUGGGUAUCAAACAGGAUUAGAUACCCUGGUAGUCCACACGGUAAA
rnacentral:rRNA from 1 species